rnacentral:rRNA from 1 species
AUUGAACGCUGGCGGCAGGCCUAACACAUGCAAGUCGAGCGGAUGAAGGGAGCUUGCUCCUGGAUUCAGCGGCGGACGGGUGAGUAAUGCCUAGGAAUCUGCCUGGUAGUGGGGGAUAACGUCCGGAAACGGGCGCUAAUACCGCAUACGUCCUGAGGUAGAAAGUGGGGGAUCUUCGGACCUCACGCUUUCUGCUGAGCCUAGGUCGGAUUAGCUAGUUGGUGGGGUAAAGGCCUACCAAGGCGACGAUCCGUAACUGGUCUGAGAGGAUGAUCAGUCACACUGGAACUGAGACACGGUCCAGACUCCUACGGGAGGCAGCAGUGGGGAAUAUUGGACAAUGGGCGAAAGCCUGAUCCAGCCAUGCCGCGUGUGUGAAGAAGGUCUUCGGAUUGUAAAGCACUUUAAGUUGGGAGGAAGGGCAGUAAGUUAAUACCUUGCUGUUUUGACGGUACCAACAGAAUAAGCACCGGCUAACUUCGUG